rnacentral:lncRNA from 1 species
GGAGAGAGCAGUGGGAGGUCUGUAUUUGAGUGAUAAUUCAGGGUUAUGUUGCUGUAUGCAUUUAUUUCUUAAACUCCUUAUUCUUCAACUCAAAGUAUGAAUAAUGUUGCAUUGGUUGUAGGUGAGAAAAAAGGAUUUUUUUGCAUGUAUAUUUCACAAUAAACUCAGUUCACUGGGAUGGCCACACUGGUGGUCUGUGUAAAUCUGCAAAUUUAUACACAAGCGGGAGGUAAGAAAUGAAUGAUUGUUAAAGGAAUGACACUGACACUCUUAAGGACAGUGUUUCCUAAGCAACGUAAGAGAAGGAACAUCCUCCAGUCCCCAGUUGCCCCAUCCUAUUUAAUACCCUAGGGCAAUUCCACCAAAAUGGUUCUCUCCAUUCAUUCCUCCUUCCUUUCAUUCAGGUCCUUUCUGUGCCACUCCUGAAACACAGCCCUUCAGUUAACUCAUCCGCAGAACACAGUGAAUUUCAGGGUGGGCUGGACUAUCUCCCUGCACCAAAUGGGCAAGCUGGGAAGGCAAGGCUAGAAAUGCAGGCAACAUGUCAGGCCCAGCUAGAGGGCCAGCGAAGGCUCCCAAGCACCCUUGACUGAGUUCUCAUCAGUAAAGCAAAAUCUUUCUCCAAGUCUGUGGGCCAAAGCAUAUGCAUUCAAACCAAAAUGAAACCAACCUGUCCUGGCCCCUGCUCUUGGAGUGGGAGUACCAUGUGAAAUCUCACUAGUGAGCUGCAAGCUAAGUGAAAGCAAGUCAGUGCAACUUCACAGAGCUCCACAAGGCUUCUUAGUUUUUCUCUGUAGCUAAAAUAUUUCUUUCCAAGGGAAGAGCCCUUUAUGAAAAUUAAUUUUCUUUCUUUCUUUUUCUUUUUUUUAGAGACGGGGUCUUGCUAUAUUGCCCAGGGUGGUCUUGACCUUUUGGGCUCAAGUGGUCCUCCUGCCUCAGCCUCCCAAAUUGCUGGGAUUACAGAUGUCCACCACCAGGCCCAGCCCUAAUUUUCAAUAAUAAACAAAUGUUUUGCUAAUUUUAAAAAUGCCAUAGCCCAUUAUCCAGUAUUUAAACUCUAUUGCCUUUUAAUUACUGUAUUUAUUUCAUGGUAUUGGGGAUAUUCUAAAACUCCUCAGUCAGAUGUUCUUAAGCAAUGUAGAUUUAAGUUACAUAAAUUUUAAAUUGUCUUUUAUUUUCUUUGUUAUCAAAAUGUACUAAUAGAAAUACUAAUUUGCCAUUUGGUUUUGUUUUGCUUAAAAGCAAGUUUACCAAUAGACUUCAGUUGGUGACUCUGCAGACCUUGAAUUUUGCAGAGAACCACCCAGGGUACUGAUGUCUUAUCUGAGUACAUGCAGAAAGAAGUUUCUACCAAGAUAACUGGCAGGCAGCUUCAUCUAACUUCUAACCUGGGUCUAUCAGUUGCUGGAGACAGGAUCAGACAUCUCUCCUGCCCCUGCGCUCUCCUUACUCCUCAAGGACAGUUAACUAAGUAGAAGGUGACCUUGUAUCAAGUCAUUGAAUGCCCCAGGGAUAAAUUCUUUGAUUUUUGUCUACUUUGGUUUAUUCCACAAAUUCUGUAUUCUAAAUGUUUAUUUCUGCUUGUACAUGACUUUGCUUUUUUUGUUUGUUUGUUUUUAGUUAAACAAUAUGUAAAUACAUCUAUAAAACAUUAAAACAAUAAUAAGGUAUAUCCCACCUCCUCUCCAAUCUUUCUCCCUUUCCCAGAUGUAGUAACUGUUACCAUACUGAUGUUUAUACUUUCCAAACUUUUACUUCACAUACACAUUCAUAUACUACAAUGCCUUUGUUUGCAGUUCAGAAUAAUUCAUUUUCUUAUAUUCUAUUGUUGAAGUUCCACACAUUUCUGCAUAUUUUAUUUUUAACCUAGCUAGACAGUCUUACAAAGUGAACCUUUGUCCAUAGCCCACAUUAAACUAUGAAUAGAUUUUGGAAAAAAAAAAAAAAAAACCAUAGGGUCUAUUAGGGCUAAUUAAAAAGAAUGAUUUUUGAUUGCAGGAGGCUUAAACAGUGCUUCCUAUGCUUCUGAGACAUUCCAGAGGGAGCAUAAGAAACUGAAGGAGAAUAUAGGUUAUCUGCCCUUGUAGCUGUCUGUCAGUCACUAUUUAUUAGAGCUGACUAUGUUCUGGGUAGGAAUGCUUUACAUGUAUUAGCUCAUUUAAUAUUCACAGUAACCCUAUAAGAUGAAGAAACUGAGGUGUACAGAAGUUGAAGAACUUGCCCCAAGUCACAUAGCUAGUUAGUGACAGGAUCAGGGUUUGGAUCCCAGCACCAGGCUCCAGAGUCUGUGUCCUUAAUCUCUAUACAUCCCGAAUGCCUGUCAACAUUAAAUAAUCCAGGGUGAAGUUCAGAGAAGUGAAAUGAUAUGACUUCUCUGGCCUCCUCCUUUCUCUAAUAACUGCAGGAACAAAGGAAAGGUUUUUAGUCUGGUUACAAUGUUUACUCUAGCAGAGCUGAGAAGUUAAAUUAAGCUCCUCUGAAGUGCUUAUUCUUCACAACUAUUUCAUAAACAGCAUCCCUUUACAUUUGUUUUCCUUUUACUGUUCUAUUUUGCCUGCUUAAAGUAUCCAAAUUGGAAUAACAAAGGCCCUUUUCUUAUGGGAAACUUUCGAUGUCUUCUCAGAGGGAUAACAUUAUUGAGCAGCACCGUUCAAAGCACUUUACUCAGCAUGGUCUUAGGAGCCACAGAGUGUGAGUAAGACGGAUGCCUUUGGCACUUUGACCACUAAGUCUUAGAGAGUUUGGAUGAGGGAGUUCAGCAGUCUAGGUUUGGCAGUGCUGGGGAAUUAGUCUCAGUACUGCAGAAUGUGGAUGAUGAGCCAUUUUCGUUAGAUAGAUAUUUUGCCUCCCCAGCAGCUCUCAAGAAAAUCCUGAGAUAGGCUCUUAGCUACAGUGCUUGGGAGGGAUUUUGAAUGGAAAGUGUAGCUGAGUUCCUUGAAAUUCUGCACCAUUUUUUAAAGGGCUGGUGCUGAAAUGCGGGUGCCAUAUGUAACACUGGAGUAAGAGAUAUUCUGAGCUCACCCAUAUUUUAUGAUCUGUAAGUGCUUAACAAGUUCUGUCUGUGUGCCUGGUGUGUAGUAGACGCUCAAUAAUAUAUGCUUGAUGAAUCAAUAAAAACAAUUUAAUCAAGGGUCUUGGGGAAGAGCUACCAUGUGUAAUUAUGAUAUCAUUACUUGGUGGAAUAGAGAGAGUAUUGAUGAAGAGAAGAAUUUAAAGAAAAUCUUGGAGUGAUUUUAACUGCUUCCAGGUAUUCACGGGUUCCACAUCUGUGGAUUCAACCAACUGCAGGUCAAAUAUUUGGGAAAAAAAGAGGAUGGUUUCAUCUGUACUGAACACGUACAUACCUUUCUUCUUGUCAUUCUUCCCUAAGCAAUACAGUAUAACAACUAUUUACAUAGCAUUUAUGUUGUAUUUGCUAUUAUAAGCAAUCUAGAGAUCAUUUUAAAUGUUAGGGAGGGUAUGCAUUGGCUAUAUGCAAAUGCGAUGCCAUUUUAUAUCAGGGGGUUGAGCAUCUAUGGAUUUUAGGAUCUGCAGGGGUCCUGGAAUCAAUCCCCCGCAGAGACUGAGGGACAAUUGUAGUAACAAUCUGUAAAUGAAUUUCUACAACGAACGUCAAUAUAAUUGCUUUCUCCUUCAACCACUUGCCUUCAAAGAUUAAAUGUUACGUAGAAACAACCAGGACUUGGCACUCAUUGUAUACAGGGCCUUAGUUAUCAGCUUUGGCAAAACAGUCAUAUCUAAUUUAUUUGUCUAUUAGUCAGCUUUUACGUAAAAGGGCCCACACCUUCUCUACGUUGUCACUAAUAAGUUGGUGAAGCCAUUGCUAAUUAUUAUUCAUCUGGUGCAAAGCAAACACAUUAAAUCAGGCAAUUGAGAUUAACCCUUCAGAACUGAUCUCUAUCAGAUGGAAUUUCAGAAUGUAUAAUUUUUUUUUCAUCUAGUACCUUGGCAGUUAUGUCUUGCAUUAUACAUUUCAUUCUUUUACAAAACUCAGAGCAAUGCAAAUUUCUAAUGUGUCUUCAUUUCUAAAGUUAAUAUCCUUUGAAAUAACAGAUUCAGAAUUUAUUUCAGAAUUAGUGUUGAAAUUCCGCCCCCCCC